rnacentral:lncRNA from 1 species
CAUUCGAAACUAACAAGUGUCGGGUCGGGGAUUUCUGCCUUGUUAUCAAAAAGGGAGUUGGGAAAAGCAAACUCUCUCCUUGGAGGAGCACGGGCUUAGUCAAGUAGAACCGAGUUGCGCUACUUGAUGCUUCGAUCGAAAAUAAAUCAGUGGGGCCAUGCCGGUACGACUGAAUAUGCGUUAGAAAGGUCAAUCCCUCCCCUACGACACCAAAAAAACCGGGCCGAACUUCUAAACCGCCCGCUUCCAUAGAACAAUAUCGUGGCAACGUAGACCUAAGUGGUCACAUUGGAUCCUUGGGAACCAUCACAAGUACGGCCGGCCUAUGUAUAUUUGAACGAAAAUUCCGUGUCGUCUAGCGGAGCCUAGAAGAAGGUGACUCGCGCAGACAGCUUACUCCUUUUCAAUAGAAAAGAAUAGCCAAACCAACCCAGCUGGCUGGUCAAUCUCAGAGAUCUUAUCGGCCGGCAAACCGGAGACGGACGACCACGGUCCCGGCCUUACCAGCACCGGAGGUGUACUAAUCAAUGAACCCACGAAACCAACUUUCUUUUAUGACAAAAUAAACCAAGCCUAAGCGGUCACGGGACGACCACGGCCCCGGCCUUACCAGCACCGGAGGUGUACUGAUCAAUGAACCCAUGAAACCAACUUUCUUUUAUGACAAAAUAAACCAAGACUAAGCGGUCACGACAUCUUGUUGAUAUUGAUUGAGGAGUUUGAU